CCGCACCCCGACGGGUCCCUCUCCUCCUCCCCUUGCAGACGGAGAUCGCCAAGCGGCUGAACGUGAUCUGCGCGCAGCUCAUCCCGUUCCUAUCGCAGGAGCACCAGCAGCAGGUGGUCCAGGCGGUGGAGCGUGCCAAGCAGGUGACUAUGAGCGACCUGAACGCGGCCAUCGGGCACCAGCUCCAAACGCAGCACCUCUCGCACCAUGCGCCCCCCAUCCCGCUGACCCCGCACCCCUCUGGGAUGCAGCCCCCCACCCUGGCUGGGCUGGGCAGCGCCUCGGGGCUGCUGGCGCUCUCGGGGGCGCUGGGGGGGGCCCAGCUGCUCGCCAAGGACGACCGCGGGGUCCACGACGCCGAGCACAGGGAGCGAGACCCGGGUCCUAGCUCCCUGGUGCUGCCCAACGGGGACCGGGCACGAGCCAUCUCCGAGUACCUGAGCAGCAGCAAAAAGAGGAAGGUGGAGGAGAAGGACUUUGUGACGGACUAUGGCAGCGAUGCGGACAAAAGCGAAGACAACCUGGUGGUGGAUGAGGACCCCUCAUCCCCACACAGCGUCCAUUCCUACUCCUCCCGUGAGAACGGGCUGGAGAAGCUGCCCCUGGGACGGAAGGAGCCCGCGCCGCUCAGCCCCACCUCCAUGGCCUCCUCCAGCAGCGCGUCCCCAUCGCGCAGCAAGGAUGCACCCACGGUGGAGAAGGCGGGGACGCCCAGCCUCAAGUCCAGCACCCCCACAUCGCAGGGCGAUGCCGCGGCGCCGGGAUCCAGCGGUGCCCCACAGUUCCGCCCCACCGCUGCCAAAGCCCCCGUGGAUUCCCUGGCCCUGGGCCUGAGGACCCCGCUGGGCGUGCAGAGCCCCUACUCGUUCAGCAUGGCUCACCCCGCUGUCAACGGGGACAUGGCCGGGGCGGGCGCCUACGCCAGCCUGCACCUCGUGUCCCCGCAGCUCAACGGCACCGCGGCCGCCGGCAGCUACGGGCGGUCCCCGCUGGUUGGGUACGACCCGCACCCACACAUGCGCGUGGCGGGGCUGGCGGCCGGCAUGCAAGUGGGGACAUCAGGGAAACCCGCCUACUCCUUCCACGUCAGCGCCGACGGGCAGAUGCAGCCGGUGCCGUUCCCCCCCGACGCCCUCCUGGGCUCCGGCAUCCCCCGGCACGCGCGGCAGCUGCACAGCCUGGCCCACGGCGAGGUGGUCUGCGCCGUCACCAUCAGCAACUCCACGCGCCACGUCUACACCGGGGGCAAGGGCUGCGUGAAGGUGUGGGACGUGGGGCAGCCGGGCACCAAGACGGCCGUGGCACAGCUGGACUGCUUGAACCGCGACAACUACAUCCGCUCCUGCAAGCUGCUCCCCGACGGCCGCAGCCUGAUCGUGGGGGGGGAGGCCAGCACCCUGUCCAUCUGGGACCUGGCGGCCCCCACGCCCCGCAUCAAGGCCGAGCUCACCUCCUCCGCCCCCGCCUGCUACGCCCUGGCCAUCAGCCCCGACGCCAAAGUCUGCUUCUCCUGCUGCAGUGACGGCAACAUCGUGGUGUGGGACCUGCAGAACCAGAGCCUGGUCCGGCAGUUCCAAGGCCACACGGACGGUGCCAGCUGCAUCGACAUCUCCAACGACGGCACCAAGCUGUGGACGGGGGGGCUGGACAACACGGUGCGCUGCUGGGACCUGCGGGAGGGGCGGCAGCUGCAGCAGCACGACUUCAGCUCCCAGAUCUUCUCCCUGGGGCACUGCCCGACGGGCGAGUGGCUGGCGGUGGGCAUGGAGAGCAGCAACGUGGAGAUCCUGCACGUCUCCAAGCCCGACAAGUACCAGCUGCACCUCCACGAGAGCUGCGUCCUCUCCCUCAAGUUCGCCGCCUGCGGGAAGUGGUUUGUGAGCACGGGGAAGGACAACCUGCUCAACGCCUGGCGCACGCCCUACGGAGCCAGCAUCUUCCAGUCCAAGGAGACCUCGUCCGUCCUCAGCUGCGACGUCUCCACCGACGACCAGUUCAUCGUCACCGGCUCCGGGGACAAGAAAGCGACGGUCUACGAAGUCAUUUACUGAAAGUCACGGAGGUGACGGCCACCGCCGGGGUCCGUUCCCCGGGAGCAGACGGACACACGGCCACGGGGACGGACGGACAGACUGCAUGGCAGACGGGCGGCAGCCUGGGGCCGGAGCAGUUGGCGAUGGGGACCCCGCAGAGCUGGGAGGCAGCUGCUGCUCGCAGGGCCCUUCCCGGGCUCUUCCUUCUCGUUUGUAAGGAUUUGAAAACGCCAUUAAAUACAUCUCGUUACUGAUCAUUCACGGCUGGGGCAGCAGCAGAAACUUGGUGCCAUUAAAGCAGUAGCAGUAAACAGGAGCGCGGGGAGCAACGCCAGGCUCUGACCUUCCUGCCACUUGUGGGUCUGUCCCCUUCCCCCACCGCCUCCAGGGGGGACAGACAGACAGACAGACUGACCACCCCCUGCCCUGCAUCCUCCCCCUCCGCGUGGAGGGGGUCUGCAUCCCUCACCCCAUCCGGCCCCCC